UUUUUUCAUCUAUGAUUGCUUGUAAAUCACUUCAGGACUGCUUUGAAAAGUGCUGUGUAAACAGACAUUUUAAUCAUUAUUUUUACAGUACUGUAGUAACACUGUUUAUAGUAGCAAUAAUACAGGUAAAGGGAAGCGUGACUGUGAUGAUUCAUUUGUUGACGUCUCAGUUUAGCAGCUUUCUAAAGAUGAUUGACAGAUUUGGAGGGUCAGUGGAAAUCAGCUCUGUCAUGUUUCCAAGGUUACAGAUCCAAACAAAACUAAGACUAAUCCCCUCUCUGGGAAGUCUGUGAUAUGAGACGUGAUUAGAAAUGAUGCGGCGUCUUGAACAUGAGGUUUACUGUUUGUUGUACGAAAGUCACAACACCAAGGUAACAUCAUAGGCUAAAGUACACUUUACAGCUGAUUUACACUCAUGUUGACAUAUCGAUGACCACUUUUGUGAAGAAAGAUAAACUUACAUUUCCUGAUAAGUGUAAAGUAAAUGGACAGAAGCCUUUUACAUACAAGAAACAACCAAACUGACAUCAUCCUUUUUCAUUACAAACGCUUGUUUGUCUUCUGGGUUUUGAUUUUGCUUUUUGGCAUUCGACUCUUAGAUCACCGAUGUUGGAGAACGCUUGAAUGAACUAAUGUGGAGUUCUCAAGACAACUGUGUGAUGACUAUCUUUGAUUAAAAAAAAAAAAAAAAGAAGAAAGUAUUUACUUUUGCGGGCAAGUUAAAGCAGAUUCCUCUUAAAUAUCAUCCUGUGUUUCUUUGCUUGCGUGUCAGUCUAUGUUCACCUUCCGGAAGACGUGUGUGAUGAUCUGAUGAGUUCUGUCUAGUCGGUGUUUGUGAGUCAGGUUCGGCGUCCAGCAAAUAAGGUGAUGCGGUCUGAGCAGCUUUUGGACGUGAGCUGGAUACUGUCACAGAGACUCACAGGGACGCGGCGCAGCACAAGUGUUUGUGGCCGUAUUUCAUCAUCACUUGAAUGUGCGAGACUAAAGCACGCCGCUGGUGAAAACAGAGUUUCCAGAGACUCUGAGUGGCAGCAAGCUGAAGCUGAUCCUUGAUCAAUGUCCAGACUUCAUAUGUAAAUCCCUGCUGACCACAUACUGAGCCACCCCCCCCCCCUCCCCAACACCUCCACUUCUCACAACUACCCCCAGGUCGAGGCCGGUGAAUGGUGAAAGGGGCGUCUCUUCACACUCUCCCGCCGCCCCCUCAUCCCAAAACCAAAACCACCACUAAUCCACCUGUCAGUCAUUGUAGAGGAGGGUGAGGGUGAGGGUAAAGGGGGGAGGAAGCGAGGAAGGGGGGGGGGGCUUUUGUCCUGGGUGGCUUCUCUGAUCUAAAGAGGCUGUCAGGAGACACAUCUCCCUGGUUUUUUUUUCUACAAUUCUGUGUUUUUGUACUCGUUUUGUCAAUAAAAUAAUA